rnacentral:lncRNA from 1 species
UGUGAAGGCAAAUUUAUUGUAAUGAUAAUUAGAUUGUAAUUUGGAAGAAAAAUGUAACUGGGAGGUAUUAUGGGAAUGCUUGUAUGAGCUGUUAGUUUUAUGUAUUUGAUACUUAUGCAAUCUUGAUUAAUAUCUGUUCCUGGUUGGAACCUCGUGAUUGUUUGGAUUGCGACGCCUUGAACGUACUGGGGAGACUAUGUCCGCGUACAGGGGAACCCUCGGUCCGUUCGGCGGUCUGUCGUCGGCGCCGCGACCCUGUCCAAAUUGGCGGUUGGUCGCGGGGCGUGACAAUAGCAAUCAAUACAAUGUGCGAAGUUCCAACCAGGAACACAUUUCAAUCAAAGAUUGCAUAAGGAAGUAUCAAAAACAUAAUCUACUUGCUAUUACAAGCAUUCACAUUAUUUAGAUACAUUUUACAUUACAAUUACAUAAUACAUUCUUUUUAGCUUCCAAAUACAAUCAUGCUUUUAUUACAAAUUAUUACAAUCUUAUUCCUUUCAUUUUCUUACAUCCCUAAGUAAGGCCGACUCAGGAUACCGCUAUCUCUGGUCUCGGUGGUAGGGCGCUAACUAUGGAGCUACGCCCUCGCCUCGCGCCGCCGCGCCGCUCACGUGUGAACCUGUAACACCCCAAAAUCACGUGGGGUGAGAACCAACUCCAUGGUUCCCAGUGGGUACGGCCAUCCAAGGGAAAAGCUCGACCAAUAGGUCCAAGGAAGGCAACUGCAAAUUAGUUCAAUAAACAGAUAGAUAUAUAUCUUUAUUAUGCAACUAAUAAAACCAUGCCUUGCCUCACGAAUGCAAUAAUGUCAUGCUAUAUGCGAAUCAUGCAAC